rnacentral:lncRNA from 1 species
UGCUCAAUGAUUACUAAAUCAUUUUGCCACUCAUUACUUCAUUUAACAUGACCAGGAUUGCUGCCUAACCUUGUUGUUUUGGAAUCUUUUUCUGAACAUUCCCUACUGAAAUGCCUUUUAUGCUUAGUGGAAUACAUAACUGAAAAGGAAUAUGCCAACUGGUGAUGACUUCUGGUUUGCAUUUCCUCUUUGAAUUAAUCAUAUGACUGGUUUAUAAUAUGCUUCUGUUUGUUUUUGCAGUGGAUGAUUCUAUUUGGUUUUAGACUCAUUGACUUCUCCAUUUGGUUCACCANUCACCAUCAUCUCUUCCCUCUUUCAUUAUUUUACAUCAUCAUUAAUUGUUGGUACCAAAGAGCAACACAAGCUGCAGAUGCGAGAUCCCAGUGUCCAGGUGAGAUGCUAUAAUAAGGUUCCAAUUGUAGUCGAGUUUUCUACACAUAUGCAAGAGCAGUGAGAUUCUUUUCUCACUUAGCCUUUUGUUACGGUUGCUCAUCAAUUUAAUCAGGGGUAACUUUUUCACAACUUUCUUUUCCUUUUGCAUGAUUAGCUAUCUGCACCAACACAACUUUUUCUUGACACUCAGGGUGCCGAAUGAGAAGCUGCUCCAUGGCCAAAAGCUUUAAACUUAUUCCCUUGAAAAUAUCCAUGUCAUCUGCACCAAGCAACAUUAUCUUCCCCUGACCAGAGAACUGUUUAACAAGCUCUCCAACUUUUUCUUCAGUCCUUGGCAUGCUGCACCAAGCAACAUUAUCUUCCCCUGACCAGAGAACUGUUUAACAAGCUCUCCAACUUUUGUUUCAGUCCUUGGCAUGCUCAUUUAUUGAAUUCAUGAUUCUAACAGUAAAUUUUAGUAUAUCAAUUACACUAUGGUGAAUUCAUUAGGAAAUCUCCUGAUUUAAUGCAUGUAUAUUUUAUACAAUGCAACCUUUUAUUCCAAAUUCGUGCCCCUGUUUGUAUGAUAGAUAGUGUAGGAUCCUGAGUAACUUUAUGUCCAGGUUAUGGUCUUUGAUAGCAUUAACCAAACUAUACCUUAAAUCUUAAUUCGAGUGUUCAUAGUGAUAUGAACUUAUUUUCUAUCGGCUUGCCAACUUUGAUUAUUGCUGAAAGAUGUCAAAAUCCUAUUCUAAAUGAGAGGAAAGUUGGGUGUUGCAUGUAAAUUAAUUUAGAAGAUAGCUG